rnacentral:lncRNA from 1 species
CUGACAGCAUCAAGGUAAGACAGGAGAUUUUGUUCGUUGCCAGGUAUGACUUCUCAGGGAGCCUUUUGCUUCCAUUUGACAAAAUGUAAUAGUUCUGUUCAAAUGAAAUAACCUUUUUUGUUGUUGUUGUUGAAAUUCAAAACAUUGCUUUAUACACAUCUCAAAAACUUAUUAAUUGCUGUUGUUACCUUGACACAGCCUGCAGGGAGAACUCACAGCACGGAGAGAUCAAUGUGGAUGUGAGACUGUUGUGAAAGUUCAGAACCAAGAGGAAAUGGCCAACCCAUCUCCUGGAGAGAGCCUGAGGAUCUGGGACAGCCUGAGCUGCCAGCCCUCUGCCACUCUGAGCACUGGCAGCUUUGAGCAGGACUUGGGUGAGGGAGAUUUUGGCAGCACAGAGCUGGAGGACAAACACAGGAGUCACCUGAACAUUUUGAGGCAAACCUCCUUACUACUGGCUCACAAACUGAAGCUCCAGCAGCAGCAGCAGCAACAUCGGCUUCUGGUGCUGAGGGAGAAGGCAAAGCAAGAGGUUGAGGAAAGCCACAGGUUUCUGAGGGACCUGCUGCAGCUCUGCUCAGAGGUAAGUUCUGAUUUCAGAUCCUGGGUUAACACCUCUAGGCCCCAACUCAUGUAAGAGCAGUUCCAACACACAGCAAUUUGUGAGCUGCUGUAGCACCUUACCCUCACAUACCCACAGAGUUUUCUCCCACCCCAUUAAUUAAUCAACUCUUUAGGAAUUGUUGGUGUAGAUAAAGCAUUAUCUACAACCAGGGGCUUUCUAAAGAUGAUGAGGAAAAAUGGUUUAAAUGUUUUGCUUUUCAAAUAGAUCAUUGAGGCGUGUGACAAUUUCUGUGUGUGCAGGACAGCAGGAAUUCCAAAGGCAGUGAUCCUCCUGUGACAAGACCUUACCACGCAGAGCAGGCACAGAGAGGACACUGGCUGGAAGGUCAUCUUGCUGCUGGCAGCUACAGGAGGUAGGCUACAGCGAGGCACUUCAAGGAUUUGGCCUGUAGUUUGAUUAUAUUAAUAUUUUGGGGCACUAAAGUAAUUGCUAUAUAGUGUUUUUCACUCUGAUUUAUGCCCGAACUACAGGAUUAACACCUUUUCACCGUUGUGGGAGAUCUUGUACUUUUGAAAAAGUAUAAACCCCUCUGAAACUUGUGUGAAAAGUAUAAUUUUCUUCAUUUUGCUUUGCUAUCAUACCCUUGAUAUAAAUUGGAACAUUGUAUGUGCAUUUUUUAAGUUCAUUUAAAGUGGCAUAAAGAUUUGAGAAUUGCUUCCAGGGUCUUAUGGAUGCAAUUACCAGAAAGGCACCUUUGCACAGGUAAAACUUUCAGUAUUACAUAAAAAUGAGUAGCAUUCUGCUUUGAAGAGAUUCAAUCUCCAUGGAGGACUUGGCUGUGAAAGCAAGGAAUUGAAAUAAUAUCUCUGACUGCAAUAAGAAAAUAUUUCCUUUUUCUUACCUUCAGUAAUCAAGAGAUGGGUUCACAGAGACACUCUACAUUGAAGAUAGACAGAGAUCCCAGUCUAGUAGAUCCUAAAAUAUUGGAAGAAAGAAAACCUUUAGGAGAAGGAGGCUCAUGUUGCUCAGUGCUUCAAGGAGGUGAACAUAAUGUUAAAGGAUUUAGUGGUAUUGGGAAAAAUGCCCCAUUCAACCUGGUCUGGAACACAAUUUUCUAACUAAUUUUUGAAAAUUUGGACCCAAAUAUUUGUCUAUUAUGCAUAUUUAAACUAUGGCCAUCUUCCUUUGCACUCCUGGCCCUGCUAAAACAAACAUGUUGGGAGCUGAGAGUUAUUUACCCUAUUGAUGGGCCCCUUUAAAAUUUUUACCUGUUUGCCAUGAUUUCACUUGAAAGGGUUGAUGUCCAUGCCUUGCUCCUGGAAGUGAACAGCUGAGGAAUGACUUCUCCAGCUCCUGCUGAGGGCGGUGCAUGGGCUUGGCUGACAAAUAUUUGCCAAAGGCACCUUGAGUUCAGAUAUGGAUGUUAACUUGUACUGGGGGAGUUGGUUUUUUUGGGUCUUUUUCUUUCAGAUAUUUUAGUUUUGGUGACAUUAACUCUUUGCUUGGGGAUGUCUGCCAGCAGAUCCCAGGCAGUCACAGCACAUCCAUCACACCUCGAAUUCACCUUGGGUGAAUCCAACCGAUGGGGAGAGCAGUGACCAGGCCCGUUCUGACAGCCAGGUAACACCAGCUCUGGAAACAGUCUGAGGGGUGCUUCUUUCUCUGCGAUGGUUGGUUUGUUUGGUUUUAGUCCCUCUCUCGAACUGUUCACCUGAUGAUGCCGGUUCUCUGCUCUGUCCCCAGCACAGUGCAGCCGUUCCACGCUUCGGAGGCUCCAGCACCUUCCAUGGUUGCAGCCUGGCCGUGGUGGAGCAGGGCCUGAGGGCAGAGGAGCUGCGGGCUCGGUGCCAGGCAGCGCUCCUGCAGCUCCGGAGAAAGGCUCUGCGGGAGAGGGCCAGGGCCGAGCUGGCCUGGCUGGGCCACCGCAGACGGUGAGGGCCACGGGGCACCACCAGGGCAGGCGUGCUGGGCCAGGACUGCUUUUCUUCCUUUCGGGGGAGCACCAUAAAUGUAAAAUCUUCUUGCAAGUAAAGCAUGAGGAGAGGAAAGGAGCCUGUGUGGUUUUAGUGUCUCCAGAGUGGAGUUCUAUUGCAGCCUCCUCUGUGGUGGUGUGAGGCACCAACUGUGCUGAGGAGCCCUCAGGGAUGGACGGAGAGGCUUGUCCCUCAGCACGGAUGAGGAGCCCUUUGGGACAGUGAGGGUUGUCCCUCAGCACUGACCAGGCUGAGGAGCCCUCAGGGGUGUCCCUCAGCACUGAUGAGGAUGAGGAGCCUGCAGGGAUGGAUGUUCAGGGGUGUCCCUCAGCACUGAUGAGGAUAAGGAGCCCUCAGGGAUGGAUGGUGAGGGGUGUCCCUCAGCAUGGAUGAGGAGCCCUCAGGGACAGUGAGGGGUGUCCCUCAGCACUGAUGAUGAGGAGCUCUCAGGGACAAUGGGAUGUCCCUCAGCACUGACCAGGCUGAGGAGCCCUCAGAGGUGUCCCUCAGCACUGAUGAGGAUGUGGAGCCCUCAGGGGAUGGAUGUUCAGGGGUGUCCCUCAGCACUGAUGAGGAUGUGGAGCCCUCAGGGAUGGAUGGUGAGGGGUGUCCCUUAGCACUGAUGAGGAUGAGGAGCUCUCAGGGACAGUGAGGGGUGUCCCUCAGCACUGAUGAGGAUGAGGAGCUCUCAGGGGUGUCCCUCAGCACUGAUGAGGAUGAGCAGCCCUCAGGGACAGUGAGGGCUGUCCCUCAGCACGGAUGAGGAUGUGGAGCCCUCACGGAUGGAUGGUGAGGGGAGUCCCUCAGCUCUGACCACACUGAGACACUAUGAGGACCCUCCCAGUGCUCAGGAGAUUCCAGUUGCUUCAGGAGAGGUCCAGGUGCCACUACCCCAGGGUGUUGAGAUGUCUGAGUGCAUCAGAGCUUUCUGCAGAGCAUUCCAUACCUACAGCUGCUUUGAGAGGAGCUUUGCUCCGCUCCCAUCCAUAAAUUCAAGGCUUUUAAUGAUCUGACUCUGAUUCUCAUCCUUGUGAUUUCCAGUGUUCUGGAAAACCUGCAGG